rnacentral:rRNA from 1 species
UACGGAGGAUCCGAGCGUUAUCCGGAUUUAUUGGGUUAAAGGGAGCGUAGGCGGGUUGUUAAGUCAGUUGUGAAAGUUUGCGGCUCAACCGUAAAAUUGCAGUUGAUACUGGCAUCCUUGAGUACAGUAGAGGUAGGCGGAAUUCGGUGGUGUAGCGGUGAAAUGCUUAGAUAUCACGAAGAACUCCGAUUGCGAAGGCAGCCUGCUGGACUGUAACUGACGCUGAUGCUC